AGUCUCCCUUUCCUAACCCUCACGGAAGUUUCCCACAGCCUGCAGCAGUCCUUCUUGUAGCCAGCCAAUCUCGCCCAGCUCCACUCCACCAGCAGCCCGUCAGGAGGAGCCUGGGCCAUCUCCGGCAGUGACCAGACUGUGUCCUGAGACCUUCAGCCUCCUCCUUCUCCCACUCUCUGUUUCUCCAACUGGCUGUUCCCUGCCUCCCUCCCGGCCCAGCCUCCCAUGGCCCUGUGGACCUGACACGUGGACUCGCCCUCCUGGGCAUGGCCCCGUGCUCACCUCCCGGCUCACCGUCUGCACCUGCCCCUCAGCCUUCGCCAGCCCCCUGCCUCUCAGGGGAGGCACCGCGUCCUGACGCAGCCCCGCUUCCUGCCCGCUCUUCGCCCCAGCAUGGAGCAAGCCCACGGUUGCUUUACCGGAACUUUUCAGCCACCCUGCAAAGACGAAGUGUGUCUGAGGCUGUGGUUUAAAACCGGGUUGGGGGCCCAGAGCAGCUGCGCAGGAAGCGAGGCUGCUUUUCCAUGAGUUCCCUGGCCAGAGCGUGGUUUCACCUCGGCCCCUUCCUCCCAGGCCUCCAGGGCUACAGCGAGGUUCUUGUUUUGCUGGACCUGUGACACCUGAACACCAAGGGCAUCCACACACGACCAGCGAAGUCCCUUCUCCCUCUGAAGCGCGUGGCAUUAGGAUAUUGGGAAGCCGUAUUAGGCUAUGCUCUGAUGAUGGGCCUGUAAGGAUGUACUCUCACCCCUAUGUGGGCCACAACUCAUUGGCUUCCUGGAGAAACAGCACAUUUCUCAAUCAAAACCUUGGACCUGAGCAGGAAUGCCUAAAGAAGGGAGCCUUCAGAGCAAAGACCAAGGUAUCCUGAAGAAGAAGGAAUUCUGCCUCAAGACUGCAAUCAAGAAAUUCUGCCUGGGCCUGGCCAGGUGGUACAGCAGUUAAGUUCACACAUUCCGCUUCUCGGCAGCCCAGUGUUCGCCAGUUCAGAUCCCGGGUGCAGACAUGGCACCGCUUGGCAAAAAGCCAUGCUGUGGUAGACGUCCCAUGUAUAAAAUAGAGGAAGAUGGGCAUGGAUGUUAGCUCAGGGCCAGUCUUCCUCAGCAAAAAGAGGAAGAUUGGCAGUAGUUAGCUCAGGGCUAAUCUUCCUCAAAAAACAAAAACAAAAACACAGAAAUUGUGCCUGAGUUUUCAGCCUUUGCACUCAACACCACAAUAUCAACUCUUACCUGAAGCUCCAGCCUGCCAGUUUGUCCUGCGAACUUUGGAUUUGCCAGUCCUCACAAUCUUGUGAGUUAAUUCCUUAAAAUAAAUCCAUCUAAAUAAAU
rnacentral:lncRNA from 1 species